rnacentral:rRNA from 1 species
GUAGUCCACGCCGUAAACGAUGGGUACUAGCUGUUGGAGGUAUCGACCCCUUCAGUAGCGAAGCUAACGCGUUAAGUAUCCCGCCUGUGGAGUACGGUCGCAAGACUAAAACAUAAAGGAAUUGACGGGGACCCGCACAAGCGGUGGAUCGUGUUCUUUAAUUCGAUGAUAAACGAAGAACCUUACCAGGGUUUGACAUCCUUGGAAUUUCUGUGAAAGCAGAGAGUGCUUUAUUGAGCCAAGUGACAGGUGAUGCAUGGCCGUCGUCAGCUCGUGUCGUGAGAUGUUUGGUUAAGUCCAUCAACGAGCGCAACCCUUGUGAAUAGUUGUAUUUUUCUAUUCAGACUGCCCCGGUAACGGGGAGGAAGGAGGGGAUGAUGUCAGGUCAGUAUUUCCCUUACACCCUGGGCUAGAAACACGAUACAAUGGUUAGUACAAUGCGCAGCGAAGCCGCGAGGUGGAGCAAAUCGCAUCAAAGCUAAUCUCAGUUCGGAUAAGAGGCUGAAACUCGCCUCUUUGAAGUCGGAAUCGCUAGUAAUCGCAAAUCAGCAAGUUGCGGUGAAUACGUUCCCGGGUCUUGCACACACCGCCCGUCAAACCAUGAAAGUCACCAACACCCGAAGUCCGAUUCGUCGGCCUAAGGUGGGGGGGAUGAUUGGGGUU